GACGACCUAAACUUGGAGAUCCACGAAAAUGAGCUCCUGAGUUCCCAAAGCUCCAAAACUUGUUUCAAAAGCUUAAAUCUUCAAAACCAAGUGAAAACAAGUGAAAAUCUUGAAAGAUUUAGAGGAAGAACAUCAAAAAUGGGUGAGGGACGGCGGAGACUCACCUUGGCCGAAAAUGGGGAAAAGCUCACCCGUUUUCGGCUAAGGGACCCUUUUAUAGUGGCUGGCCAGACCACGUUCGGGGGCCGAAUGUGCCUCCGCAUGCAUGCCAUGUUCGGCGGCCGAACAUGAGGUUCGGCGGCCGAACCUGGACUUCCCUCACUCAUGCUUUCGGGGGC
rnacentral:lncRNA from 1 species